UGCAGGCUGUGUCACUGGGAGCACCCAGGGCCAGAUGGGUGCAGACCGGGGCGGUGACAAUGCCCGAGGGACCCACACGGCUCACACCCACACGUUAACUCCUGGUUCUUCGGAGCUUUUACUCCAGCAAGUUUUGUACCAAGCCCAGCGCUUUUCACGCAUUACCAAAUUCGCUCUUCCCUGGAAGUUUCGAUCAGCCAACAACCAAUUACUGAGCAUCUACCAUGUGCUAGGCGCUGCGGAUGCAGAAUAUGUGCCACAGCCCCGCCUGCAGAGGACUCACGGUCCAGUGCUCACAGGCGAGCCAAGAAUGGCUAUAGCGCGGCGUGAUGAGACCCCAGCAGCUCCAGGCACCCGGCCGCCUUUGAAGAAACAUCUGGCAAAUGCGUGAAAGCCACGCUCGUGACAGGGAGAAGAUAAAGUUGCUGGAGAAGGCACGUUCCAGUUCUCCUCGGGCGUUCUUCACAGAGGACGUCACACACUGAGCCGGGCCUUGAAGAUGAAGUGCUCCUCUCCGUGGGGAAGGGAGGCGGGCGUGCCACGGAGUGUUGGCCCCACGCCCAUCCCUCGGCACUGGUGUUUCCGUGCACGCCAGCCCCACCCAACGGCCGGCUCCAGGAGCCCUGUGUCUGAGGGUUUGUCCCACCUGGGCUUGCUCUGCCCUCUCCAGGGGCAGACAGGAAGGGGCUGGGGGCGCUCCCUCCCAGGAAGCCGGGAACUGCCAACACACAGGAGCUGGGCAUCAAUACCCCGGCUCUUUCCCGUCUCUGGCGGAGAACUCGGAGAUGCGUCUGGGAUCUGCCACGGCCUCCAGUGGGCUGAGGCCCGGCCACCCGCGGCGGGAGCUGCCACUGAGGAUGCGUCCUCUAUGGCUGCCUUCCUCCCUCGCUCCUUCCUCCGGCUCCCCAGCCAGGGCAUCCUGCCCGCACCAAGUAGACUUCUCAUCUUGGGGUCAGCUGCCAGGGGAAGCUGGACCACGACAGCAGGACAGUCAAAGUUUUCUUUGAAAGAAGAGCAGAGAGGAGUGUGGGUCGCUGACAAGCUGCAUUCCUGAAAUGCGGGAAGUGACCCAAUCAAUGAGGAGGCUGGGAAUCUGGCCGUGGCCACCCCUUCUGGCCUGCUUUGGACCAGCCCAGCGGAGAAUGUUAUCAUCCUCAUCUUGCAGACAAAGCCUCCGAUGCCCAGAGGAGGGGAGCUCACUCGGAAACACAGAGCCGGUGAGCUGUGGAUCGCAGACUGGCGUAUGUCCAUGCUAAUCUGGCUGGCCCCCUGUGAGCAGCUGUGAUUGUCGCCACUGACACGCCCAGAAGGAGCUGACGGAGGAAUUGCAGAGCGAGGAAUGAGCCAGAGCAUCCAGGAAGUGCCGAUCCCCUGCGGGAUGAGCUUGGAGCUGGGAUGAGGGACACACAGGCAGGAGCUGGAGCAACUGGAACAGGCAGGUGGGUCGGCUUAUCGGGAACGCAGGAUUGUCGUGGGAGGCGGAGAGGAGGUGAGUUUAAGGACCUGAGGGGCGGCCAGUGGUACAGCCGUCCCCUGUAAGCACAGGGGGCCACUGUGUUGGGUGAGCCAGGCCACGUCCCAGGUGCUGUCGGGGGGACGGAGGCAAGCCCCAUGAUGACACGCGGAGGGAACCGCAGGCCGGGCGGGGCCUCUCCUCACUUCCAAGCUUAAAUGUUGCAGGAGGAGCUAAGAUGCUCCUUGGUCCCGAGGGUUUCAAGUCCCAGGAGGAGCUGCUGUCUGUCUCCCCGCAGCGCACGGACUCGCCUCCUGGGUGUCUGUCAGCAGAGUUUCCAAUUUCAGGGUAAACUCAACUAACCAAACCAGCGAAAGGAAAAACACAAUCUCUUGCUACUCCUUCCUGCUCUGCUCCUUCCAGAAGCCCUGGCAUUCUUUUUUGACGGAUCUGCAGGAGGUCUCCAGCUGGCCGAGGGGGGCCUGGACGCUUGUCAAUGCAUCUUAGCAAUUGGAAUGUGCCCUCUGACCUGCCCUCGCCUCCCCGAGCCGUGGCAGGCGGGGCUCCCUGGGAGCCGGAGGGCCCUGGUGACUUAGAAGGUCAGGGGCUGCGCUUUCUAGAACGUGCCAAAGGCUUGGAAGGAGCCUCUGAGCUGAGAGGAAGGACAGGGAGGGAGCUGUCUGAAAGCAAAGGAUGGAAAACUCUGAGCACCAAGAUCUCGGCCGCUUCUCCCCUUCAACUGGAUGAGCACUUUCUGCGACAGCAAAGGGGGCAUCCCAGCCUCCUUCACCCCCCGGCCAGGCCCACCGGCCCUGGGCCACCCCCGCCUGCUGAGGCUGGAGGGCUCCACAGCCAGGCGGGGAGGGCGCGAGUCUCGAGGCCGCCAUUCCUGUGUGUGGCCUCAGCGAAGGGGUCCCCUCACGUGGGCACCCCGUCCUCCUGGGUCUCUCCUCCCAGUCAGGGCUCGGCUCACCGUUUCUGCCAAGGGCCAGAGAGGAAAUAUUUUAGGUGUCGCCACCUCGGUGAUGCUCAGCUCUGCACGACAGGCGUCCCAGGCCAUCUGUAAUGGAAAGAGUGUGGCCGUGUUCCGAGGAAACUUUAUUUUCAGAAACAGGGCACAGGCUGGAUUGGUCCGCCCGCCCUUGGUGCAGAGUCUUGGGAGAGGGUCCUUGGGGUGGCUGCGUUAUGAGUCCAAGAUGGAGAGCAUAGUUGUGUGAAGAUGGCGGGAAGUCGAAGUGAAUGGCCAAACGCUGGGCUUUGGGCAGGCCUGGGUUUCCAGUCCGAUCUCUGAAGCUUGGCUGCUGUGUGACCCUGGGCCACUUACUUCCCCUCUCUGAGCCCCAGUUCCCUUCUCUGUAAAAUACAAGCAAUAAUAAUACCUACUCUCCAAGGUCUGUUGGGAUGAUGACUUAGCAAGGCCUGGUGCUCGGGGAGCCCUCGGCAAACACGUCAUCGUUUACGUCUGUCGUAG
ensembl:lncRNA